CCGUCGCCGCUUCCCCGGGUCUGGACGACGGCGCUCGCGGAGGCAGCGACGGCGGCGCCAGGGGGAAAUCCGCGAAGACGCCAGGGUUGGCACCCGCCAGCAGGUUUGCCCUGGGGCCAGGUUAACUCCGUCACCCCUCACCCUUGGUCAUAAUAGAGUCUGAAGAAAUCUGGACCAUUCGGACAUCCUGCAGCAUGUAAUAUUGGUUUAGUAAACCAAUGGCCACAGACUGAUUAGGCAAGGAUGUUUCCCAUGAAAGGAUGCGAAGCAACAGGUAUCCAGUAUUCCGAAGGGUACCUAGGAGAUUCACUAGGAUGUAUUAUCAUGUUCUGCUUCAUAUUCUUUUGGAGUACAUAAAAAUGGGCAAGAUGAGAAACGUGGAGACCUUUUGGAAAGAAACUUGCAUCAUCAUCACUGUAAUCAAGAAUGUGAGCCUCACUCAAGUCUGGCCGCCCCCGGGAAGAUUGUGACCUUGGGCAAAGGAGCUUUCUGUAGCUGAGACAGAUCCUGAAGGAGCUGACAGCCAGUCUUUAUUUCAAAUGUAACAUUUUUACUGUGGAUUUUUGUUACUUUUGAUUUUCAAACUAUUUCAUUAAAAUCUGAUUGAACUUGAUGGCUGAGUUUUUUGAUGCCCCUUAAAAUUUUAUGCCUUCUACAAGUGCCUCGUUUUCCUGCUUGCCCUCAGUCUAGUCCUGGCCCUGACAGCUGGGAAGCUGUCUGAUGGCUCUGCUCCCUGCAGCUGGCAGAAAGUAAUUCCUGCAAGAGGGUUCUGGGCAAUGCAUUUUGGUUCCUACCCCAAAAAAUUUGGACAUUCCCAAUGGUGAUUUUUUUUCUCCUCCUGCAUCACUAAGUUAGUAUGACAUGAAACAGCC